rnacentral:rRNA from 1 species
CCAGCAGCCCAUAUUUGCCGUAGCAGCCUAAGGAUGCCCCAGCCCAGAAGCUAAGCAGGCAUGGGCUUGGCUAGUGCUUGGAUGGGGGACCGCAUGUAAAGACUGGGCCUGGAGGCUUCUGGC